rnacentral:misc_RNA from 1 species
GGAUGAAGAACGUAGCAAAAUGCGAUAAGUAAUGUGAAUUGCAGAAUUCAGUGAAUCAUCGAAUCUUUGAACGCACAUUGCGCCCGCUGGUAUUCCGGCGGGCAUGCCUGUUCGAGCGUCAUUUCAACCCUCAAACCCCCGGGUUUGGUGUUGGGGAUCGGCUCUGCCUCACGGCGGUGCCGCCCCCGAAAUACAUUGGCGGUCUCGCUGCAGCCUCCAUUGCGUAGUAGCUAACACCUCGCAACUGGAACGCGGCGCGGCCAUGCCGUAAAACCCCAACUUCUGAAUGUUGACCUCGGAUCAGGUAGGAAUACCCGCUGAACUUAAGCAUAUCAAUAAGCGGAGGA